rnacentral:tRNA from 1 species
GGUGGCUCAGAGGUAGGGUGCUUGCCUUGCAUGCAUGAGGCCCUGGGUUCGAUUCCUCAGCACCA